rnacentral:lncRNA from 1 species
UCGGGACCUUUCUCGAUCCCCUCAGCUACAUCUUCCACGUACGUUAUCUUCCCUUCUUUAAUCUGUGGAAGCACAAACUCCAAGAACUUUGGGAUUUUGUCGUAGAAAUCAGACACUACAAAGCCUUGAAUGCGGAUUCUUUUGUAGAUUAUGUUGGAUAGGUUGUGUACACCUUCCUGAUUCUCAAGAUUGUACUGUGAGAUCAUUCCGCAGACAGCGAUACGUCCGUGUGGGUUCAUGUUUAAGAGCACUGCAUCUAGCAUUUUGCCUCCUACAUUCUCAAAGUAUAUGUCGAUGCCCUUGGGGAAACACCUGAAUGUCAAUCACAUAGAUCAUGUCACUUUCACAUCAAACGCUUAGAAGUAAUAAGUAGUUACUAAACCUUUUCAAGGCAGCAUUAAGGUCUUGUUCUUCCUUGUAGUUAAAUGCAUCAUUAAACCCAAACUUGGUCUUCAGGAGAUCGACCUAACAAUUCCCGGAAAAAAAGAAGUAAAAGGGUGAAUCACUCUCAUAAAGGAGAACCAAGGAACAUAUAUGAGGAAACAAAAUAUUGAAAUGAUGAUCACCUUUUCUUUGCUACCGGCGCUUCCAACAACAUAGCAACCCAUCAUCUUAGCAAAUUGACCCACAAGCUGACCAACCGCACCAGAUGCAGCUGAGACAUAAACUGUCUCUCCUUCCUUUGGAGAACAGAUUUCAUAAAACCCAGCAUAGGCAGUCAUACCGGGCAUUCCUACAAGGACAAGACAAAACCCAUCAAGGAAAGAAUAUAUAUCAUAACAUAUUAGCAAACCAAACUGUUGAAAGUCUAGUCUUCUCAAUUGAAGUUUAAAACUUGACAAAACUAAUUCCAUUCCUACAUGGUUAUGUCAUGAAACUUCAUGAUCUCUGUCUAGGUAACCAAGUGAUUAUUCCACAUUUCUGCAGACAAUACUAAAGCAAGGAGCAAGGCCGAGAUUAACAUACCGAGAAGUCCAGUGUAGUAAGAUAACGGAACAUCGGUGUGUUGGAUCUUGAAAUGCAUGCGAUUCAUUGGAGUGAUAACACUGAACUCCUCCCAUCCAACGAAUCCCCAGAGUAAGUCGCCUUUCUUGUAAUCCGGAUGCCCAGAUUCUAUCACUCUAGACACUCCAUAACCAUUGAUUGGCUGCACCAAAAACACAAUGAAACCACAAGUCAAAACGAUAGAGAUGGCACAAAGAGACACAAUUGCUUCUCUGUGUGUCUUCAAGAGCACUAAAAUUGUCAUUCUAGUUUCUUCUAUCAAUAAGAAGCAGUUACAGAAAUGAUGAUCCAACCCAAAAAAAUAGAAAAAUAAUAAAAUAAAAAAGAAUGAACAGUUGAUCCGUUCAAGUAUAUUAUUUAUAUAAUUAUAGCUCUCUGUUCACAAAAUAAAAUAUUUAUAUCAAAAAGAGAAUUAACAUAAUAUAAUCUUCUCAAGGAAUUAUAUACAUGCAAUGAUGCAAACCAAGCAUAAUUAACAUUAUGAUCAUCGGAUUUGGAAAUUUCACGGGAGAUUUGGAUAUAUAAUCGGAGAAUUAAAUAAAGUAGAGUCUCUCGUCGAUGGGUACCUGGCCGGGAGUGUAAGCUUGAGCAAGAGCAGCGGUGGAAGGAUCAGGUUUGCCCAUGCGAAUACGCAUGUAAGGAUCACAUGACAAGUAUAGAUUCUUCACCAGGACAGAGUUAGAACCUUUGGGAACCUUGAGUUCGACGGUGGUGGUAGUGAAAUCGAAAUCUGAUUCCUUAGGGAAACCACUCACGUAGUCUUUGAAUAUCACUUGCUUGUUCGUCGCCGUCAUCCUUAAUAUCUUUCUCCGAUUUGACUUUCUGACUUCGAUACAAUUUUGUUACUUCGGAUUUAUCGACGACGCCGCUGGUCCCCCGUAGUUAUGUGCAACAGAUUUUAUGAUAUCAAAAUAUGACGUCACUGCUUAUGUCUCUGACUUAUCCACUUUGUUCACAAUUUGGAUACUUUCUCUUUUUAUGGCCGUCCAUGUGUCUUUGCCUCGAACAUUCGAACCUAACAUUGCUUCAACAAUAUAUAUUGUAAAUUGGUAUGUAGAGAUUAGUGGUGUCCUAACACAUUGAUGACAUAUUGUAUUAGCCCUUUCUUACUACUUCGAAUCUUCUAUACAUUUGAUGAAACAAGUUAUGAUUUGAAACCAAUAACAAUCAAAAUGAUAUCUAUAUAAAAAUGGACUUUAUUAAAUUACUAUUAUUCAUACACCAGUCACGCUUGGGUUCGAACACCCACCCAUACAAACCCUUGUUGGAUAAAUAUAACAUUAUUCACGAGCAACAACAACUACUUGUUUUCCAACGUUCUUGCCAUGGAAGAGUCCCACAAGAGCUUCAGGACCUUUCUCGAGUCCAUCAGCUACAUCUUCCACGUAUGUGAUCUUCCCUUCUUUAAUGUGAGGAAGCACAAACUCCAAGAACUUUGAGUAUUUGUCGUAGAAAUCAAAGACUGCAAAGCCUUGAAUGCGGAUCCGUUUGUAGAUUAUGUUUGAUAGGUUGUGUACGCCUUCCUGGUUCUCAAGAUUGUACUGUGAGAUCAUUCCGCAGACAGCGAUACGUCCAUGCACAUUCAUGUUUAAGAGCACUGCGUCUAGCAUUUUGCCUCCUACGUUCUCAAAGUAUAUGUCAAUGCCUUUAGGGAAACACCUGUAAAUGAAAAAGGAGAAUAUCCCUUAGAUUAGUCAAACAGCAGUUGAUACACACUUAAGUUGUAAUUGUGAGUCUCAUUUUUCCAACAAAAGUUGUAAUUGUGAGUUUCAUUGUUUUUUUCCCUAAUACUUAAGUUGCUUUCCAUGUAGAAUCAUGCUUUCAUCCAUUUCUCCGGUUUAUACUAAGUUGCAAAUUGCCAGCUUUAUUCUGCAACAGAUCCUAACCAGGCAGUUUUUAACAUAAAAAAACUUCGAUAUAACCGAACCUUUUCAGGGCAGCACUAAGGUCUGGUUCUUCCUUGUAGUUAAAUGCAUCAUCAAACCCAAAUUUGGUCUUGAGGAGAUCAACCUAACAAUUCCCGGAAAAAAAGAAGUUAGACGGUAAACCAUUUCCUUGAAACAGAACCAACAAACCAAACAAGGAAAAUAAAUGUGGAAAUGAUGAUCAAACUCUUACCUUUUCUUUGCUACCGGCGCUUCCAACAACAUAACAUCCCAUCAUCUUAGCAAAUUGUCCCACAAGCUGACCAACCGCACCAGAUGCAGCUGACACAUAAACUGUCUCUCCUUCCUUUGGAGAACAGAUUUCAUAAAACCCAGCGUAGGCAGUCAUACCGGGCAUCCCUGUCAGGACCGGAAAAAACCAUCAAAGAGAUAAUAUAUUAAAUAGAUCAACAAACCAAACUGUUGAAACUCUAGUCUUCAAGAUUGAAGUUAGAAUUUUUUUUUUUUUUUUGGGUAGGAAGAUUGAAGUGAAAAACUUGACAUAGCUAUUUCUGUUUUGUAAGUUUCAAACAAUGUAUUAAUCCACAAAACUAUCAUACAUGGUUAUGACUUAUGACAUUCGACUUCACGAUCUCUGUAUCAAGAAGUAAUCUAAAGUUUACCGAGUAAUUCCGUAGAGAAACGAGAAGCAAGGCUGAGAUUAACAUACCGAGAAGUCCAGUGUAGUAGGAUAAUGGAACAUCAGUAUGUUGGAUCUUGAAAUGCACGUCAGGUGUUGGAGUGAUAACACUGUACUCCUCCCAACCAACAAUACCCCAGAGCAAAUCACCUUUUUUGUAAUCUGGAUGUCCAGAUUCUAUCACUCUAGACACUCCAAACCCAAAGAUUGGCUGCACCAAUAACAAAAUGGAACAACAAAAAAAUCAACACGAGAGAGCAAAAGGCAAAACCCAAAGCGACACAAUUUGUAACUCAGAGUCUUCAAGAACACUAAUCUAAAGUUUAUAUAAUAAGAUUCUCAACUAACACAAAAAUAGAACAGUUGAUUGGUCGAAUUAUAAUUAUAAUAAUAAGACAUCAUUCUGGUCACAAAUUAAGUAUUAUCCAAAACAAAAAUCAAAAUAAUGUCACCGGAUUCAAAAUAAACAGUAUAAGCCAAUUCGAAUUUCACCGGAGAUUUGCAUAUAUGAUCGGAGAAAAAAAAAAGUGAAAUUCUCGUGAAGUUCGUACCUGGCCGAGAGCGUAAGCUUGAGCAAGAGCAGUGGAGGGUUUAGGUUUACCCAUGCGAGUCCGCAUGUAAGGAUCGCAUGACAAGUAGAGAUUCUUCACCAGAACAGAGUUGGAACCUUCCGGAACCCUAAGUUCGACGGUGGUGGUAGUGAAAUCGAAAUCGGAUUCCUUAGGGAAACCACUCACGUAGUCUUUCAAUGUGACCUGCUUGUUCGUCGCCGUCAUCGUUCGUUAAUUCUUUCUUCGCCGAUUCAACUUUCUGAGUUCAAUGAUUUGUUACUUCUUCGUCGUCGGACUCGCCUGCUUUUUAUAGUGGUCUCUCUGUCUCUCUGUGGCUCAUAUCAAGUAUGACGUCACUGCUUAUGUCUCUGAGUGAGUCAUCUCAUCUCAUCGCAUUGUUCACAAUUUGGAUACUUUCUCUUUCGUGCGUUUAUUUUGUCGACAUUUUCAUUUACAUUCCAUUCCUUUCACAUGUCACAAGAGUUCGUGUUUUUACAUUUACACAUAUGUAAACACUUUAGAAUUUGGAGAUCUUUUUAUAAACUGAAUUUUGUUUUUUUCUUUUAAUCAAACUGAAUUUAGUUUCAUACUUUCAUGGAUGAAAAUUUAAAAUGAAACAAUCAAAAAAAACAAAAAAAAAACGCAUUCAUAAGAAAAAUAAGAAAAAAUUUCCUCUCAAAAAAAAAAUUUCAGAAAAUCUUUUGGAAAAAAAGAAUAGAAUCCAAAUCAUUGGUUAAUCAAAAAUGUCACUAGACUAAUAUUUGAGAAAAUAAAGUGGAUUAGACAGGCAAUUAAGUGGUGGAUUACUCCAUUAAAUUGAGAACCUUCGGAGCAGCAUCACUGAUUGGGACAUGUACUAGAAAAUAAGAGAACCUUCGGAAGUACUUUAUUAUACAAAUUUAUCAAGGUGACACCCUUUGUCUUUGGCACUAUGGAGAAUGUGAACACCGGAGACAAAACACGUAUCACACCGAACCCACAAAGCAGUAUUAUAUUCUAGCUCCCAAAACAGAGCCAUGUGAUUGUGAUUACGAUGUUCUCUAAUAAAAAGGAAAAGGAGUAGUGUAUUUGCUAAUCUUACAAGAGCUACAACACACAUGGGACUGUAACUUUGUAUCAGGCCUUUUUGGGAUUUGUGCAUGGGAGGGGUUUGGGAUUGUUUGUUACUACUACAUUGAUACAUGUGAUGAAAAACAAGUCACAUAGAAUAUGAUUCGAAACAAACAAACUGAUAUUAUAUUAAAAUUUACUACAAUUACUAAUAAUAUUUAUAAACCAAAAACUCACGCUUGGGUUCGAACACCCAUACCAGACAAACUCUUGUUGGAUAAAUAUAUUACAUUACUUUCAUUAUAAGUCCUUACUCACGAGCAAUAACAACAACUUGUUUGCCAACAUUCUUGCCAUGGAAAAGACCCACCAGAGCUUCAGGACCUUUCUCGAGACCAUCAACUACAUCUUCCACGUACGUUAUUUUCCCUUCUUUAAUGCACGGAAGCACAAACUCCAAGAACUUUGAGUAUUUGUCGUAGAAAUCAAGAACUACAAAGCCUUGAAUGCGGAUUCGUUUGUAUAUUAUGUUGGAUAGGUUGUGUACGCCUUCUUGGUUUUCAAGAUUGUACUGUGA